UGCAGAAUCCCGUGAACCAUUGAGUCUUUGAACGCAAGUUGCGCCCGAAGCCGCUAGGCCGACGGCACGCCUGCCUGGGCGUCA
rnacentral:rRNA from 1 species